rnacentral:other from 1 species
AUAUCCCUGCUGUGUUCGUAAUGAAAGUCAUAAUGUAAAACCAACAGAUUUUAUAUGGGAUUUUGUCUCCGCAUUCGGCGCACAUGCCUCAUGUCUUAUGACAUCCAGUGGACUUGUAAUGUCUGCGGGCGUUAUCCCACCCUGGGUGACCGGGUUUUUACUUUAAGACUGCAUACGGCAUCGUGGGGUUUUU